CUCAGCAUGACACAGCAGAAGAGAGUGGGUGAAUAGUUAGUUACAGGGCUCCAGUGACACUCAUUUCUAUUUAAUUCUCUUUGCAUUAGUCAGGCUGUUUAAGUGGACCCUGAUGUAAAUAUGAAUUGAGUCUCUCUGGAGCUGUUUGCUUGCUUCCCUGGAUGGCAAAGGAAGCCACACCAGGCAUACGGCGUGACCCCAUGGCAGAUGUCCCAUCCUCCAGCUUUACUCCCAUGCCUAGGAGACAGGGGCUAAAAUCAAAGACCCACUCAUUUGCCUACUCAGGUGGCAGUCCUUUACAAAGGGUGUGCUGAUGGAAACCGUGGGUACGAAGCUCCGGUAAUUAUCCCGGAUUCCUGAGCCCUCCGUCCUUCAGCGAGGCUAAUAAUGAAGACAGAGGAGAGAGAGAGAGGCCGGGAUGUGCCUGCCUGCCUGGAAUGCAGCCGGAGCUGAAAGCUGACACCAGCUCGCUGGAAAAGAACUUGCGAGCAAAGGCUGUCUCCAAGACAACAGAGUAUUUUCCCUGUGAUGCAUUUACACAGUGGGGUUAAAGUUCUGUGAAAGCAACAGCUGUUGUAAAAACAUUGUAUUAAAUAUGCUUAGAACUGUAAAACGCGUGCUCCUCAUGUUGCACUUUGCUCGAGAGAAAUGUGGAAACCUGUGGUAUGCCUGAAGGAGAGUUUCUGCUCUCUCAAAAGCUGUUUUAUAAAUGCCAUGCUUCAUUUUCAACCUUUUCCUGCUGAGAUAGCUUCUUCUUCGGACCAUUUUUUCUCUAAAGUUGACUUUCAAGUUAAAAGCUAAUGACUAAAGCAUGACUGGGUCUACUCCUUGCUUUUUACCCAUUUAAAUUAUGCCUUUUUGCUUGAAAACUUCCACUAUAUGUGUGCGUUUGUGUUAGGACGUAAGCUGCUGCAAAUUAAGCUUGCUUACCCUGGUGCCACCCAUAGAUGUGGCUCAGCUAUCAUUUGCAGUUCAGACUCAUCAACACUAAUAUUUUUCCAUCACUGGAGAGUGAUCUCCUGCAAUGUUGUCCUGUUUCUGACUCAGCUGACCUCUGGGGAGAAACUCACUGUGUAGAGGACAAAAUAUUACCAGCUUCAAAAAUAAGGGCCUGGCAAAACAACAGACUGCUUCAGAGCUAUUAUCUCCUUUCAUACUGCAAUUCUUAGAGGCUUUUUAAACAGUUACAUAGUUUUCAAGUCAAGAGGCAAAAGACCUAGAGGUUUCAAGGCAAAGACCUAGACAUUUUAAGAAACUUACCCAGUGCAACCCUUUUCAAGUGAAACAGCAAGGACACAAUGGCACAGCUUACACAGAUGCCCUGAGGCACUGAUAUGACAUCUGUACUUUUGAUCCUUCCCACGCAAACGCGGUAAAAGUUGUAAAAGUCUGUAAUAAGAUACUGGAUUUCCACAUGCUGUUGAAUUUCUGUCUGAAAACACAGGACCCAUUCAUCUACAGUAGGAAAAGCAUGCCUAAGCUGCUUCAGCAGUUUUGAGAAUCUCAGACUAAAUAAUAUUUAUCAGAAGCAAAAAAAUUAUCUUACUCAGGAGAGUAUCAAAAUGAUUGACUGAUUUCAGCCUACCUAGGAGGAGAACAGAAGGAUCAGACAGAGCAGAACAGAGGUUUUGCAAGAAUCAUCUCCCAAACACGAAGACUGCUGUUAGGACUGGACACUGUCUGCCUUGUCACCAUCUACCUGUGUAAUCACAGGCACAAGGAAGCCUAUUCAUCAAAGGCCCCACUCAGGGCUCCUUUGGCAUGCUUAACACUUCCGCAGACGUACAAGGAUCUUCGGGGUGUUCAAAGGAUAAAAGACUGGACACUAUUUAUAGUUUUGCUGAUGUUGGGAUGGUGGCUGUAAACCUAAAUUCCUUUCUCAGUCCGUGCUCAGCCUUGAGCUGAAUGAAUAGCGAAAAUAAAUAAAUAAUA